GAUGAACGCUGGCGGCGUGCCUAAUACAUGCAAGUCGAGCGAACAGAUAAGGAGCUUGCUCCUUUGACGUUAGCGGCGGACGUGUGAGUAACACGUGGGUAACCUACCUAUAAGACUGGAAUAACUCCGGGAAACCGGGGCUAAUGCCGGAUAACAUUUAGAACCGCAUGGUUCUAAAGUCAAAGAUGGUUUUGCUAUCACUUAUAGAUGGACCCGCGCCGUAUUAGCUAGUUGGUAAGGUAACGGCUUACCAAGGCAACGAUACGUAGCCGACCUGAGAGGGUGAUCGGCCACACUGGAACUGAAACACGGUCCAGACUCCUACGGGAGGCAGCAGUAGGGAAUCUUCCGCAAUGGGCGGAAGCCUGACGGAGCAACGCCGCGUGAGUGAUGAAGGUCUUCGGAUCGUAAAACUCUGUUAUUAGUGAAGAACAAAUGUGUAAGUAACUGUGCACGUCUUGACGGUACCUAAUCAGAAAGCCACGGCUAACUACGUG
rnacentral:rRNA from 1 species